rnacentral:rRNA from 1 species
ACCAUGCAAGUCGAGCGGUAGCACAGGGAGCUUGCUCCUGGGUGACGAGCGGCGGACGGGUGAGUAAUGUCUGGGAAACUGCCCGAUGGAGGGGGAUAACUACUGGAAACGGUAGCUAAUACCGCAUAACGUCUUCGGACCAAAGUGGGGGACCUUCGGGCCUCACACCAUCGGAUGUGCCCAGAUGGGAUUAGCUAGUAGGUGGGGUAAUGGCUCACCUAGGCGACGAUCCCUAGCUGGUCUGAGAGGAUGACCAGCCACACUGGAACUGAGACACGGUCCAGACUCCUACGGGAGGCAGCAGUGGGGAAUAUUGCACAAUGGGCGCAAGCCUGAUGCAGCCAUGCCGCGUGUGUGAAGAAGGCCUUCGGGUUGUAAAGCACUUUCAGCGAGGAGGAAGGGUGGUGUGUUAAUAGCGCACCACAUUGACGUUACUCGCAGAAAAAGCACCGGCUAACUCCGUGCCAGCAGCCGCGGUAAUACGGAGGGUGCAAGCGUUAAUCGGAAUUACUGGGCGUAAAGCGCACGCAGGCGGUUUGUUAAGUCAGAUGUGAAAUCCCCGCGCUUAACGUGGGAACUGCAUUUGAAACUGGCAAGCUAGAGUCUUGUAGAGGGGGGUAGAAUUCCAGGUGUAGCGGUGAAAUGCGUAGAGAUCUGGAGGAAUACCGGUGGCGAGACGGC